AGAGGAGUAGAUAACGGACUAGUGACCAAACGAUCAUAAUGGACGUGCAGCGUGUAGGAACAUGCUUUAUGCUAAUAAGCAUUUUGUUUGUAACACAUGGGGAUGUAGAGUUUGUUUCUGCAAAUACAAUUUCGAAUGUUGCACUUGGAAAGAACGCUUCUCAAACGGACACAGCUGGUGGAGGUAAUCCGGCGCUUGCCGUGGAUGGCGAUCCGUCAACAUGCUCACUAUCAGCGUCAGCUUCGGCUGAUUGGACAUUAAAUCUCGGAGAUUACUACAUAAUAGGAGAAGUUUCAGAAACAAGAAGUGAAUCACAAUGGGUUUCGUCUGUUGUAAAAGCGACCUCGGAAACUGCAGG